rnacentral:misc_RNA from 1 species
AACGCACCUUGCGCUCCCUGGUAUUCCGGGGAGCAUGUCUGUUUGAGUGUCAUGAACUCUUCAACCCACCGGUUUCUAGUAAACUGGAUGGUGUUUGGAUUCUGAGUGUUGCUGGCUAGUAAUAGCGAAGCUCACUCGUAAUUAAUUAGCAUCUCAUAUUCGAAAAUCGGAUUGACUCAGUGUAAUAGACUAUUCGCUGAGGACGCUGCCUUUUAUUAGGGAGUGGCCGAGUUUUGUAAAGUAGAAGCUUCUAACCCUAUUAGUCAACUUUAGAUUAGACCUCAGAUCAGGCAGGAUUACCCGCUGAACUUAA